rnacentral:rRNA from 1 species
UACGGAGGGUGCAAGCGUUAUCCGGAUUCACUGGGUUUAAAGGGAGCGUAGGCGGGCAGGUAAGUCAGUGGUGAAAUCUCCGGGCUUAACCCGGAAACUGCCAUUGAUACUAUCUGUCUUGAAUAUCCUGGAGGUAAGCGGAAUAUGUCAUGUAGCGGUGAAAUGCUUAGAUAUGACAUAGAACACCCAUUGCGAAGGUAGCUUACUACGGGAUUAUUGACGCUGAGGCUCGAAAGCGUGGGGAUCAAACAGG